AUACGGAGGGUGCGAGCGUUAAUCGGAAUUACUGGGCGUAAAGCGCGCGUAGGCGGUCUAUUAAGUCAGAUGUGAAAUCCCAGGGCUCAACCUUGGAACUGCAUCUGAUACUGGUAGACUAGAGUUUUGGAGAGGGAAGUAGAAUUUCAGGUGUAGCGGUGAAAUGCAUAGAGAUCUGAAGGAAUACCAGUGGCGAAGGCGACUUCCUGGCCAAAAACUGACGCUGAGGUGCGAAAGCGUGGGUAGCAAACGGGAUUAGAAACCCUAGUAGUCC
rnacentral:rRNA from 1 species